AUGGCGGGUGAAAAGGCGGAGAAGCCUGAUACAAAGGAAAAGAAGCCUGCGGCCAAGAAGGCUAGCGGUAAUGCUGCUGCCUCUGGUCCCCCGGCCGCUGGUGCAGCUAAAAAGGGUAAACCGAAGAGUAAAAAACUCAAGAAAGCCAAGCCCCACUGCAGCCGGAACCCUGUCCUGGUGAGAGGAAUUGGCAGGUACUCCCGAUCAGCUAUGUAUUCCAGAAAGGCCUUGUACAAAAGGAAAUACUCAGCUGCCAAGACCAAGGUUGAAAAGAAGAAGAAAAAGGAGAAGGUCCUUGCUACUGUCACAAAAACAGUUGGUGGGGACAAGAACGGUGGCACCCGGGUGGUGAAGCUUCGAAAAAUGCCUAGGUAUUAUCCUACGGAAGACGUGCCUCGGAAGCUGCUGAGCCACGGCAAAAAGCCCUUCAGUCAGCACGUGAGGAGGCUGCGCUCCAGCAUCACUCCCGGGACUGUCCUGAUCAUCCUCACUGGGCGCCACAGGGGCACGAGAGUGGUUUUCCUGAAGCAGCUGGGCAGUGGCUUGCUACUUGUGACUGGACCUCUGGCUAUCAACAGAGUUCCUCUGCGCAGAACACACCAGAAGUUUGUUAUCGCCACCUCUACAAAAGUUGAUAUCAGCGGGGUUAAAAUCCCCAAACACCUGACUGACGCUUACUUCAAGAAGAAGCAGCUGCGCAAGCCUAGGCAUCAGGAGGGCGAGAUCUUCGACACAGAGAAGGAGAAAUACGAGAUUACAGAGCAGCGAAAGACUGAUCAGAAAGCUGUGGACUCGCAGAUUUUGCCAAAGAUUAAAGCUGUUCCUCAGCUCCAGGGCUACCUGCGAUCUCAGUUCUCCCUGACAAACGGGAUGUAUCCUCACAAACUGGUGUUCUAAAUGGCUUACAGCCUCAUUAAACAGAUUCAUAUGUUUAAAAAAAAAA